UGCAACUUCAGCUGGAGAAAUCUGAGGUUAGACAAGGAAUCACACCGCUAUAACCUGGAGAAAACCAUCCAAAAUAGCGGUUAUUUUUCUCGGCUGAGGAUCAGGAACUGCAUUUAUUCGUCUGGGAAUGACUGGAUGAACAGGAGGACCUGAGGUACUGCGGCUCAAGAGUUAUGACUCUGCUCUGAUAGAUGUCAUCCUGCCCCGACAUUUGUAUGGGUCUUUCUUAUCAACCACAGAUAUCCCCUGGUGGACUCAGCAAUCUCCGUGAUACCAGAGCUACAUCUGUUCCUCCGUCUACUUGUGGUCAGACAGCAUUAACAUCAAAGAUCCACACAAGUUCAGCCAGCACUAAACAUGGAGGACUAUGACAUUCGCUCGGCCGCCAGCAUCCUGGCCUCCGUGAAGGAGCAGGAGGAGCGCUUUGAGCAGCUGACCCGAGCCCUCGAGGAAGAGCGUCGUAAUGUUACCCUGCAGCUCGAGCGUUCCAACCUGCCUCCCAACUCCUCGGCCAGCCAGCCACUAGCGUGGCAACAAGUGGUGA